AGCGAACGCUGGCGGCAUGCCUUACACAUGCAAGUCGAGCGGGGUUUUCGGACCUAGCGGCGGACGGGUGAGUAAUGCGUAGGAAGCUGCCCGAUAGAGGGGGAUACCAGUUGGAAACGACUGUUAAUACCGCAUAAUGUCUACGGACCAAAGUGUGGGACCUUCGGGCCACAUGCUAUCGGAUGCGCCUACGUGGGAUUAGCUAGUUGGUGAGGUAAUGGCUCACCAAGGCGACGAUCUCUAGCUGGUUUGAGAGGAUGAUCAGCCACACUGGAACUGAGACGUGGUCCAGACUCCUACGGGAGGCAGCAGUGGGGAAUAUUGGACAAUGGGCGCAAGCCUGAUCCAGCCAUGCCGCGUGUGUGGAGAAGGCCUUCGGGUUGUAAAGCACUUUCAGCGAGGAGGAAGGGUGGUGUGUUAAUAGCACAUCAUUUUGACGUUACUCGCAGAAGAAGCACCGGCUAACUCUGUGCCAGCCGCCGCGGUAAUAC
rnacentral:rRNA from 1 species